GGCACGCCUUAUACAUGCAAGUCGAACGCAGUAGCAAUACUGAGUGGCAAACGGGUGAGUAUAAUGUGGGUAUCUGCCUUUUGGUUUGGAAUAACAUGAGGAAACUUGUGCUAAUACCGGAUAAGCCUUCACAGGGAAAGUUUUAUACGCCGAAAGAUGAGCCCGCACUUGAUUAGUUUGUUGGUGAGGUAAUGGCUCACCAAGACAAUUAUCAAUAGCUGGUCUGAGAGGACGAUCAGCCACAUUGGGACUGAGACACGGCCCAGACUCCUACGGGAGGCAGCAGUAAGGAAUCUUGCACAAUGGGGGAAACCCUGAUGCAGCGAUGCCGCGUGAGUGAAGAAGGCCCUUGGGUUGUAAAACUCUUUCGUCGGGGAAGAAAAUGACUGUACCCGAAUAAGAAGGUCCGGCUAACUUCGUGCCAGCAGCCGCGGUAAUACGAAGGGACCUAGCGUAGUUCGGAAUUACUGGGCUUAAAGAGCUCGUAGGUGGUUAAAAAAGUUGAUGGUGAAAUCCCAAGGCUCAACCUUGGAACUGCCAUCAAAACUUUUUAGCUAGAGUGUGAUAGAGGAAAGUGGAAUUUCUAGUGUAGAGGUGAAAUUCGUAGAUAUUAGAAAGAACACCAAAUGCGAAGGCAACUUUCUGGGUCACUACUGACACUGAGGAGCGAAAGCAUGGGUAGCGAAGAGGAUUAGAUACCCUCGUAGUCCAUGCCGUAAACGAUGUGUGCUAGACGUUGGAAAUAUAUUUUUCAGUGUCGCAGCGAAAGCAUUAAGCACACCGCCUGGGG
rnacentral:rRNA from 1 species